CGGAGGGAAAACCCGGCCUGACUCACUGGCUCGCGGCCGGCCCACAGCCAGGCCCAGGCCCCCGGAUGUGGGGGGCGGGGACAGGGGCCACCCCCGCCCACUGCGUGCCAACCUGAGCCCCGCCCGGGCUCUCGGCUCCAGCCUAACCCAGCCUGCCGAGAUCCCGCGCGGCGGUGGCGCCUGAGCUCCCUGCCGGUUGCGCUGGGCGCCGCGGCCGCCCGGUGUGCGCCAGCUCCGACCCGGGCCAGUCCGCAGCCCGAAACGUGGCCGAUGCUCCCAGAGGGCGCCCAGCCCGUCCCGCUCCUCCGCUGCCGUCUCCUCUCCUCCUGCCUCGCUCGCCCGUCUCGGUUUCCAGAACCCGACAGCUUCGGAAGAGGCGCAUUCCGUCCGUCACCUCCUUGAUUCUCGCCGCCUCCUCUUAGAUUUCAGCUUCCCACCUGGGAAGGAAGACUUGAGCAACCACCCAGGAUGGCUGGCAGCCUCCCAGCCCACCCACCAUGGACCUUCCACCUUUAUGUCAUAGAGCCUGAAGCCACAGUGAUGUCCUUGAGCAGUUAGACGACAGAACAGGCAUUGGGGCUGGCAUGUGCUAAGUUUGAUAAGGUGGUGGAUAAAAGACUUUAAAGCCUAAAAAUAUAUUGCCUUAUGGUGAAGAUAUACAGAGGAUGUGGAAUGGAAACAUGAAUUCAAGGAGAAGAAGGAAAAAAUGUAAAAUUUCCAAAUGUUGAAGAAGAGCUUGUUCAUGGAUUUAAACAACUGAUGAUAGUGGCUGGACAAUUCAGCCAACUGGCACAUUUAGCACUCCAACUACCAUGCAAGGUACUUGGUUCAGGUCAAAGUGCAGAUUUUCUUGAUCAUCUUUAUGUAAGUAUUUCCUGUCCAUCUGGAGAGAAGGUGAAUAAAGAUUUAUUUUGUUUACAAUUAAUCUGUGUUUUAAUAUUCACUCUUCAAAUAUUUGAAUUCAAUUGAUUUUGAAUUCAAAUAGUUCAAAUAUCUUUAUUCCCUUUAAGGAAUAAAAAAAUUGACUGAUAGUGACCUAUCUAAGCUUAUCUUACAUAGAACACAUCAUAAUUUGAAGAUACAGUUUACCACCACUUCUCCCAUAAUCCUCCCAACUUCCUAUCCAUCUUUCCUGCUUUUUCUUAUCAUUUUCACUAUCUGACAUACUAUAGUAUCAUAUUUAUUUUUCUCUUAGGUCUGUUUAAAUCUCAUUGCUCAUAACUGUGUAAGCCUGGGACAGUCUUAGGAUGAUGUAGAAACAGGUUGGGGCUCCCCUCCUCCCAGGGUAAUAGCAGAUUCCCACCAAAUGCUGGAGCUCUUCUAAUGUAAUUUGAAAAAGGAGAUUUCCAUUCCUUGCAUCCUGAGCAUAGAUAAUCUCAUUUAAUUCUCAUGUCAACCUAACAAGGUAACAUUUAUGCCCAUUUUACAGAUGAUGAAAAUAAGUUUGAGGGAGGCUUUCCAAAUAAGUAGAAGUGACUAUUUAAUCGGAAGGUUUUACCUACCUGAUUCCACAGACCACGUUUGUUUCUCCUUAGCAUUUCUGUUUAUCUUGGGAUAAGCAAUGGUGACAGCAGCCAUCACCAAGAGCACAGGGUCCUCUUGCUAGUAUAUCCCAUCUGCAGAACUUCUGAGUGAAAAGCGGGUGCAUGUGAGGAUGCUGAGACCACAGGCAUAAACUGCAUGUGUGUUUGCCCUGGCUGUCAUGGAGCACUGACAAAAACAUCUUCAUUGCUCAUAACUACUACAGAUAUCAAUAGUCUUCUUUCUGUUUCGAUUAAAAAUUUUUAUUAGGAGAUUUUAUAUUUUGUCAAUACAAAUCAUAUGUAUGUAUAAAUGUGUAUAAAUGUAUAUAUACACAUUUAUAUAUGUAUAAAUGUGUAUAUAUGUAUAAGUGUGUAUUGUUAUAUGUAUAUAAAAAUAAUAAAAUGAGCCCUUAUGUGCCCAACAUCCAGUCUUAAGAAAUGGAACUCUAAGAAUACCUUUGAAGCCUCUCCCUCCUCUCCAUCCUCACCCUCCACGACAAACCUGCCCUGAAUUUUUAUCAUUCCUUGCUUUCCUUUAUAUUUUACCACAUAUGUAUGUAUGUGUGUUG